rnacentral:rRNA from 1 species
UACGUAGGGUGCAAGCGUUAUCCGGAAUUAUUGGGCGUAAAGAGCUCGUAGGCGGUUUGUCGCGUCGGGAGUGAAAACCAGGUGCUUAACACCUGGCUUGCUUUCGAUACGGGCAGACUAGAGGUAUGCAGGGGGAGAACGGAAUUCCUGGUGUAGCGGUGAAAUGCGCAGAAUAUCAGGAGGAACACCGGUGGCGAAGGCG